rnacentral:rRNA from 1 species
GACAGAGGUGCCGAGCGUUAGGCGGAAUCACUGGGCUUAAAGCGUGUGUAGGUGGAUGCCUAAGUGCCUUGUCGAAAUCCCACAGCUUAACUGUGGAACUGCUUGGCAUACUGGCGGUCUUGAGCCAUCUAGGGGUUGCUGGAACAAACGGUGGAGCGGUGAAAUGCGUAGAUAUCGUUUGGAACGCCAAUGGUGAAAACAGGCAACUGGGGAUGUGCUGACGCUGAGACACGAAAGCCAGGGGAGCAAACGGG